AAAGCUACAGUCGGUGUGUUCAGAUGCCUCUUUUCAGAAAAGAGGAGGUAUCUGGACAUGCGUGCGACGUACGUCGGGUUUGC
rnacentral:tRNA from 1 species